rnacentral:rRNA from 1 species
UACGUAGGUGGCAAGCGUUGUCCGGAUUUAUUGGGUUUAAAGGGUGCGUAGGCGGCUUUGUAAGUCAGUGGUGAAAUAUGGCAGCUUAACUGUCAGGGUGCCAUUGAUACUGCGGAGCUUGAGUACAGAUGAGGUAGGCGGAAUUGACGGUGUAGCGGUGAAAUGCUUAGAUAUCGUCAAGAACACCUAUAGCGAAGGCAGCUUACUAGGCUGUAACUGACGCUGAGGCACGAAAGUGUGGGGAUCAAACAGG